AAGACAAUACUUUCAGGGAUCAUUUCUAUAGUAUGUGACUAGAGAAGUUUUCCUGAUUGUGUAGAGCACCCGAAGCCAUGAGGAGGAGCCAGAGCAUCCUCUCCUGAGUGCGAAGCCGGCUCUAGGUGUGGCUUCUGUGGCUGCCUUUUGCCGUUGAUCGCUCUUCCCUUCCUUUGGAAGGGGUAGAGGGAGAGGAUGCAGUCUGAGUGGU